rnacentral:rRNA from 1 species
UGGCGGACGGGUGAGUAAUGUCUGGGAAACUACCUGAUGGAGGGGGAUAACUACUGGAAACGGUAGCUAAUACCGCAUAACGUCGCAAGACCAAAGAGGGGGACCUUAGGGCCUCUUGCCAUCGGAUGUGCCCAGAUGGGAUUAGCUAGUAGGUGGGGUAAAGGCUCACCUAGGCGACGAUCCCUAGCUGGUCUGAGAGGAUGACCAGCCACACUGGAACUGAGACACGGUCCAG